rnacentral:rRNA from 1 species
UACGGGGGGAGCAAGCGUUGUUCGGAUUUACUGGGCGUAAAGGGCGCGUAGGCGGCGUGACAAGUCACUUGUGAAAUCUCCGGGCUUAACUCGGAACGGUCAAGUGAUACUGUCGUGCUAGAGUACAGAAGGGGCAACUGGAAUUCUCGGUGUAGCGGUGAAAUGCGCAGAUAUCAGGAGGAACACCGGUGGCGAAGGCGGGUCUCUGGGCCGAAAUUGACGCUGAGGAGCGAAAGCGUGGGGAGCAAACAGG